UUUUAUUUAUCAGAAUGUGUGUAUUCGAUCGAAUGAGUUCAGUUGGUUGCUAAAUUCGAUCCGGUCAGGUGGGUUGCUUAGCAGAUUCCCAGAAAAGUUUCACAGAGCCGCCAUGUGCUGUCCAAGUCGCUAUUAUCGGACCACGCCGUGCGUGCAGUGCUGCCUAAUCGACUGCAGCUACUGCUGCUUCCAAUCGGACUGCUGUGGUCCCUGCUGUGUGACCACCCACCCGCCUAGCUUGUGUGGCGGAUGCUUUGGUCCUUGCUGCUAACUGGGAUUCCUUUUUUUGGCAUCCACAGUACGAGGAGAACGAAGCAGGCGAGUUGACUUAGAGCAACUUUCGAGGUUGACGAGCUACCGAACAUCGGAUGUGAGCUCAUUCCGACUUUGAGCCUGGUUGUAAGCACAACAACAAAAAUUCCAAUUUUCCAAUAACUAACAUCUUUUGGAAUACUACACUAUUUUGAUUGUGAACACUUGUGCUCUUUGUCGGAACCAACAACAGCCACCUCCACCCUCCAUCCUCCAUCUCAGCAGCAGUUCCUGCUGUUGCUCCAGCUGAUUGGGUUCGUCGAUAUGUGCUGCAAUCCUGGUGGCUGCUGCGGCCUGCCCGCCUGCAUCCAGUGCACCAACUUCUGCUUCAACUGCUGGACCGGCACGGCGAGCGUUCCCAGCUGCCGCACCGGCUACUCGCCCGGCUGUCCACUCUAUCGCGGUUGCUGUGGUGGUCCACGAGGUUGUUGCUAGCGACGCUCCUCGAUGUCUACGAAAUUAAGAAAUAACAUUCGCCCUCCCAAAUAAAAUCAUCCGUGAAUAAAACCCAACAAAAAGAACCCCACACGACAGUUUGACUGACCGAGUACCAGCCUAUACCUAUUGAGGCGUCGAGGAGCUUUAGAUUUCAGAAAUGAAAUCCCCUCUGCUGACGCUGUAUCUUUUUAGGCACAUCAUCAUAGUCAAAUUAGAUGCUCGUACCCUGGGAAUGGAGGGGUGCCCUUGAAACCACUUGUGGCAGGUGAUAGUAGGUGGGCUCCAUCAUUUGAAACUGCAUAGGAUGUUCUUGCUGAAGUGGCGUUGGCCCCGUUACAUCGAGGGGAGCUUUCACUAAGGAGUUAAGAAGGAAGUGCGUGUGAGGGGUUAAGUAGGAGUGACGAAAUCAGAAAACGUGCUCUGAAAAACUGCUGUCAGAUAUCGAGGCCAGGGUCAAACCCGAUAGUAAAAAUUGAGAAGUGAGUGGUGAGCAGUUCGGGCCCAUAGCUUGGCUCGGAAUAUUGUAGCCGGGUCAGGUAUCUUUGCUGGAGAGGAUUCCUUUUUUUUUUGGAGAAGAUAGGAUCGGUUUCUUGAGAGGAUCGCGUUUUGCUGGAGUGGGCUGUAUGUCCCCCCAUAUUGGGAAGUGGAUAAUUCUCGACUAGCCAGACGAUCCGACGUUCCAAAGCCUGCUCCAAGAUAUAA